AUUAUAAUAUUAUAUAUUUUUAUCGUUGAUUUACAAUCGGUUGUGUAAGCUCUGUAGCUGCAGUGCAAACGGUGACUACGCGUACUUGUCCGUCUUCGCCAGGAUGUGUCCGGAUGAUACUAAAGACCAUUUCGUCAACGGUAAUGUCUCGUUACGGACGAGGCAUAGACGACCAACAGUAGCGCUGACGGAUCAUUGCAAGAGUCAGCUGAGCUCCGCCGUGAAGUGAACGUCGGUGACAUGCAUCGACAACUAAUCGAGUGAAAGUUGAGUCGCUCGGCAGAAUUAAAGGAUGACGCUCGUCGAAAGCCAAGAUUGCAUGCUUCAGACGACCACCAAUUCGCAGGAUUCUUCUGUGGGCUGAAUCUGGUUACAACAGCGUGAGAUUCAGUCAUUGCUUCUAGAAGAUCUUCGUUUACAUUUGCUUCGAUUUGAGAAAGCCAAGUAGAUGGAGAGUCAUUUAAUCAAAAGGGACCUUUCCACCACAGAUGAUGAGUUACAAGAUCUCUGGGAGUCAAUCCUCGUGAGGCACAAUCUGCCGGAUUGUCACCACCUGGGACGUGGUGCCAUAAUGCAUCUGGGACACUGUUUUGGAUGUCCGCUACACGACAUACGUUCGCCAUCGAGAUGGAUGGCCUUGAAUCCAUCCUAGGGUAACAAACGAAUCCGAUCAUAAAUGCAGUGGUGCCUUAGUGAGCUUGAGAGUUGAUCGAAUGUGAGAAGCAAGUCUUGCAAGAAGUAAUGCUGCACAUAGUUCUAAACGAGAUUACGGCAGCAUAGGCUCUUUCAGAUGCAUCAGCGAAUCUGUGGAUCUCAACGUCGGCGUCUUGUUCGGAUAAUCCGAUCCAUUGAGGAAUCUUUUCAAGAUGAUGAAGCUCAGUUUGAAAAUCACGCCAGUGACGUCUGAAUGCCUCAUCAAGAGAAGAAUCCUAAUCCAGACCUUUUAACCAGGUUGACUGGAAAGCAAUCUUGGCACUUAUAACAGCUGGUGCAAGUCAACCAAGAAGAUCAAAUAAUCGUGCAGAUUGGAAAAUUCUCACUUGGCGUCGCCAAAGUGGCCAAAUCACUGGCCAAACUAGGAAUGGAUUCAAUGAUAGCAGUGGAAAUUAAACAGAUGUUAGAGAGAGAAUUCAAUAUUUUAUUGACAGCACAAGAUAUUCAAAAUCUCAAUUUUGUUAAACUUAAACAAAUGAUAAAUACAGACAAGCAAGAAGAGGUCCCUGAUAUCAUUGAUGCUGAAGCAAAUAAGUUGGAUGGAUUAAACAUGUUGACACGAAAACUCAACGAUUCGGAUUUAAAUCGAGAUAUUUAUAUAGAAGUCGGUACAUAAGGGAAGAUGUUGAAAGAGAAAUAUUUCUUAUACUAGGAAUUGAUGGUUGUGCCAGAGUAUAUAAACUGAUAGAAUCGAAAAUUGAAUCUUCAACGAUGUGUUAUUUGCAAAUAUUUCAUACUCGGGAUGUUAGUCGUUCAAUAACGAAAUCAGCAGCAUAUCUUCUGCCUGUAUAAAAUUAUAAGAUAAUAUAUUUGAAAUAAUCAUGAACAUACUUUUUUUACGUACUGUAUUAUAUAUAUGCAUGUUUCGUUUUCUAGUAUAUAGUGGAGAAAAUGAAAAGUCGAAAGGAGUUUCUUAUUGUGGGUUAUUCAUUUGGAUGUUUAAUUGCUAUCGAAUUGACAAAAUUAUUGAAAGCCGAAAAUUUUCUAGACGUUUAAUACUUAUAGACGGAGCUCCUGGUUUAAUAAAAUUUUUCAUUGACAAAAUUCUUAAUUAUCCGUCGGAUUAAGAACUACAAAAUGACAUUUUAAUUUGUUUUGUAGAAAUGUAUCUUGGAUCUAGCAAUGAAACGUUUGCAUCAGAGCUGAAUAAGUGCAAUACUUGGGAGGAAAAGUUAGAAGUAUUUUCCCAUUUUUCAAAGAAUAUUACUGCAUUAACUGUUAAAAAUCGGAAUAUUUUAUGUUCAACAAUUUACGAUCAUAUAAUCGCUGUAAAAGAUUACAAUAUAUCUUUGUUGCCGUGCUUAAAAUCAUCUGUAAUACUAUUAAAACACACUUACGCUCUUCACUUUUUUCGAAGAGGAUUAUGGUCUACAUAAGGUUAUCGAAAGUAAAGUACAAGUUCAUUAUGUGGAAGGUACUCAUAUUACAAUGAUGGACAAAAUAGCUUUAUUUUGUUAUAGCCCGAAAGGCUAUAAUUAUAAAUAUAGCGGAUAUAAAAUAUAGAAUUACUAUAUUUUUCGCGAGGAGACCGUUGAUACAGCAGCGGGCCGGAAACCGCAAAGACGCAAGCUAAGAGCUUCAUCUUUCGAGCAGCUUAGCGCGAGCUCAAAAUCUAGCCGCGUAAGCAAAAGCUAUUCAUCAAUCGGGUGCCUGUCGCCAGGCACCCCUUCCAAACGAAAAACCGAGUUCACGUAAGAACUCGGGAGUGAACAGAGAGUGAGUUCAACUAGACCGAUCACCCGAGUCACAUCAAGGAUAACUCCCGAUUCGAACUCAAACGAGUCGUUAGCUAAAGUUCGAAUAAAUCUAGAGUCGCAUCAAGCGAGCGGAAAAGAGAAACGAAGUUACCAGAGGUCUAGAAAUAAAUGUACGCAGAGUCUCGAUUUAGGUUGUAUAUCAAUAUAUUGAAUAAA